rnacentral:rRNA from 1 species
UACAGAGGUCUCAAGCGUUGUUCGGAUUCAUUGGGCGUAAAGGGUGUGUAGGUGGCGCCGUAAGUGGGGUGUGAAAUUUCGAGGCUUAACCUCGAAACUGCAUUCCAUACUGCGGUGCUAGAGGACUGGAGAGGAGACUGGAAUUUACGGUGUAGCAGUGAAAUGCGUAGAUAUCGUAAGGAAGACCAGUGGCGAAGGCGGCUCUCUGGGCAAUUCCUGACACUGAGACACGAAGGCCAGGGGAGCAAACGGG